GCCCGGCUAGCUCAGUCGGUAGAGCAUGAGACUCUUAAUGUCAGGGUCAUGGGUUUGAGCCCCAUGUUGGGUA
rnacentral:tRNA from 2 species